GACGUAGGGUGCGAGCGUUGUCCGGAUUUAUUGGGCGUAAAGAGCUCGUAGGCGGCUCGUCGCGUCGACCGUGAAAACCCGCAGCUUAACUGCGGGCUUGCGGUUGAUACGGGCGGGCUAGAGUUCGGUAGGGGAGACUGGAAUUCCUGGUGUAGCGGUGAAAUGCGCAGAUAUCAGGAGGAACACCGGUGGCGAAGGCGGGUCUCUGGGCCGAUACUGACGCUGAGGAGCGAGAGCGUGGGGAGCGAACAGG
rnacentral:rRNA from 1 species